rnacentral:rRNA from 10 species
CAUACCACCUUAGGCACGCCCGAUCUCGUCUGAUCUCGGAAGCUAAGCAGGGUCGGGCCUGGUUAGUACUUGGAUGGGUGACCGCCUGGGAAUACCAGGUC